rnacentral:tRNA from 1 species
GCUCCGCUGGCUAAUGCAAAUUGGUACAGCUACGAGUCUUAGAAGCUCGGCCUUUGUCGGUUCGAAUCCGACGUGGAGCACCA